rnacentral:rRNA from 1 species
UACGUAGGCAGCAAGCGUUGUUCGGGAUUACUGGGCGUAAAGAGUGUGUAGGCGGUGUUCUAAGUCUGGUGUGAAAUCUCCCGGCUCAACUGGGAGGGUGCGCUAGAAACUGGAAUGCUAGAGGAUGGGAGAGGUAAGCGGAAUUCCUGGUGUAGCGGUGAAAUGCGUAGAUAUCAGGAGGAACACCUGUGGUGUAGACAGCUUACUGGACCAUUUCUGACGCUGAGACACGAAAGCGUGGGUAGCAAACAGG